AUGGAUUUACCUAUCAGAGCCAGAAGUUGCUCGCUCUGCCCGCCCAAGAAGGUCCGGCUUUCCCUUCUGUCCCACCUUCUUUGUGACGUCAUAGAACCAUCGCCUUGCUUAGCCCGACCCCGCCUCUUUUAUUUAAAUACGGCGCUCAACAUGGCGGUGCCUACUUGGUCCGUCGGCCGCUGUGUUUUCGAGCGCAGGCCAUGGAAAAGACUGUUUCUUCAAGAGCCGCGCUGUUUGGCUAACUACAGCUGCGUUUUAAUCCCUGAACCCCUUUCAGCGCGAAGUGCGUGUCGGUUAUCGCCUGAAAACCAGCUGACCUUUAACGACCCUCACCACCUCUGCUCCGGAAGUGCUUGCUGGUCCCAGACUCGUUUGGUGCUCCUUUUCGCCCUGCUCCAACAACAUUCGUUUCAUGAUCCUGUGAAUCCUGAGAGGUCAACACAUUGCCCUUCCCAUUCUGAAGAUGGCUGAAGGCACUGUGGAGAGACUCACCAGGUCACUUUCCGCAGAUUGCAUUGUUGAUGGGCAGCAGAACCAGGAGGACUCACUUCUGUGCUGCCUUCCAAGCACCAAGGUGAAAAAAUAGAAGCCAUGAUUCUCAUGAAGACAGUGCUGUGAGGUUAAGGGAGAACUGGUGCUCGCCAGCUGUCAGGGUCUUAAGCCUGUGUACUUCUUUUCACAAGCUCCCCAGUUUUUAGCUCGGGAGAGUCAAGCUGGAGGUCUCUUCCCUUGAUCCAACAAGGCGCCAACUUUCGAAACCACAGCGUUGGUGCAGCCUCUCUGCCCGUGGUCUUCACAUCAGCCUGUGGGGUGGUAUCAGAACCGUUCAUUGCAUUACCUGUGGGUGGACAGAGGGAAUGGAGGAUGCAGCUGGACCAACUGUGGGUUAGUGAUGGUGGAAGGCACAUCGCACCCUCUAGCAUCACUGAGAAAUGGGUGCAGCAGUGAGGGAUACUUGGCAGAGUGUUGGGAGCCUGGCCGAGUGAUAUGAGGCCUGUGGUGAGGAGUGAAGCCUGAGCUAGAUUGCCCCUCCCGUCGACCGAGUGAUAUGAGGCCUGUGGUGAGGAGUGAAGCCUGAGCUAGAUUACCCCUCCCAUCGAGUAUGCCAAGAUGGCGCCCAUUUCCUGCUCCCUAGCUAGUAAACAACACGCCCUGUAAGCUAGUCUGCCCAGCAACAGAUGACGCUGGCCAAUCAGCUCGUCUUGCCUACUUUGAUGUGAUUGGUCGAUGUGUCCAUAUAUAUGCUGACACCACCCCUGGGGGGAACACACACACCAAGAAGAGGGACUGCUGAGAGAAGCACACAAGGAGCCGUAGGGAACGGACCAGAGGAGGCUUCCCUCAGGCGGGAUCCGAGAUCCCGGAACAGGGCGUACGGAGAGAGAAAAUAAACCAGAGGCUAUCCGCCGACUACUCGUGUCGUGUGUUUUUUCCUGCCGGCCGGGAACGACACCGACAUUUGGUGGCCCGUACGGGGAACUGAUCACCCCCGAGACGAGGCGGACGACGCUCCAGUAUUGCUCUGCAGGACAGGUGAGUAGGGGAUAAACCUGGGCUCUGGGUGGCGCGCACCUACAGGGCUUUUUAGACUCCCCUCAAGCUCACGUGUAUGUGGCAGGUUAGCCUCACACGGUGAGAACGGACUCCUCAGUGACAGGCAUGGGCAACUUACCCACUAAGAGUUCCAAGUCACUGGUAAGAGCGGUGAAAGACCUGCUCAAGAUUUCAGGUAUAU
ensembl:lincRNA